rnacentral:rRNA from 1 species
GACUAACGCUGGCGGCAUGCAUCAUACAUGCAAGUCGAACGGAGAGUAUUGUAGCAAUACAGUGCUUUUAGUGGCGAACGGGUGAGUAACACGUAGGUAACCUGCCCCCCUGACCGGGAUAACGUGCCGAAAGGCGCGCUAAUACCGGAUGUGACCCCGACCCGGCAUCGGGAAGAGGUAAAAGGACUGGGAGCAAUCCUAGCGCAAGGGGAUGGGCCUGCGGGCUAUCAGCUAGUUGGUGGGGUAACGGCCUACCAAGGCUAUGACGGC